rnacentral:rRNA from 1 species
CGAAAGUUAGAGGUUCGAAGGCGAUCAGAUACCGCCCUAGUUCUAACCAUAAACGAUGCCAGCCAGCGAUCCGGCUGUGUUCCUCAAAUGACACGCCGGGCAGCUUCCGGGAAACCAAAGCUUUUGGGUUCCGGGGGAAGUAUGGUUGCAAAGCUGAAACUUAAAGGAAUUGACGGAAGGGCACCACCAGGUGUGGAGCCUGCGGCUUAAUUUGACUCAACACGCGAAAACUCACCCGGCCCGGACACAGGAAGGAUUGACAGAUUGAGAGCUCUUUCUUGAUUCUGUGGGUGGUGGUGCAUGGCCGCUCUUAGUUGGUGGAGCGAUUUGUCUGGUUAAUUCCGUUAACGAACGAGACUCUAGCCUACUAAAUAGACGUUCCGAUCCUCCGAGUCGGACGUUCUUCUUAGAGGGACGGGCGGCGUUUAGCCGCACGAAACAGAGCAAUAGCAGGUCUGUGAUGCCCUUUGAUGUCCGGGGCCGCACGCGCGCUACAUUGAAGGAACCAGCGUGUGCUUUCCCUGUCCGACAGGACUGGGUAACCCGUUGAACCUCCUUCGUGCUGGGGAUAGCAAAUUGUAAUUAUUUUGCUUGAACGAGGAACACCCAGUAAGCAUGAGUCAUCAGCUCAUGUUGACUAUGUCCCUGGCCUUUGUGCACACCGCCCGUCGCUACUACCGAUUGAAUGAUUUAGUGAGGUCUUCGGACUGGCGCUCGGAUUGGCUUUCGGGUCGAGCCGACGUGCCGGAAAGAUGACCAAACUUGAUCACUUAGAGGAAGUAAAAGUCGUAACAAGG